CUGAUAUUAAACCGGUCCAUGGGGCAAAAAAGGUUGUAGACCGCUGUGUUACUGGAUGUCCUGAUAAACAUUUAAUACUUGAAUCUGUGUAUGUUCCUCAAUGUGUGUGUGUGUGUGUGUGUGUGUGUGCGUGUGUUUGUGUGUGUUUGUGUGUACAUGUGUGUAUGUAUGUGUGUGUGUGUGUUUGUGCAUGCGUGUGUGAGUGUGUGUGUGUUGGUGAUCUGCUUUUCUGAACACGUCUCAUGACUGUGCUGCUCUCCUCUAACAGGAAGUCUCCUCUCUGAAGAACAGCAUUCUGGGUAUGAGCAUGUGGAUGAUGAGCUUCUCUCAGUAAAGUCUGGGAUUGGAGAAAAGGCUGAGUAUUAUGAUGAUGUCAUCGACACCAGUGACUUCAUAAGUGAUACAGGAAGAGUUGACCCACCAGAGGAC
ensembl:lncRNA